CUACGGGGGCAGCAGUGGGGAAUAUUGGACAAUGGGCGCAAGCCUGAUCCAGCAAUGCCGCGUGAGUGAAGACGGCCUUAGGGUUGUAAAACUCUUUCGCUAGGGAAGAUAAUGACUGUACCUAGUAAAGAAGUCCCGGCUAACUCCGUGCCAGCAGCCGCGGUAAUACAGAGGGGACUAGCGUUGUUCGGAAUUACUGGGCGUAAAGAGUUCGUAGGCGGACUGACAAGUUAGAGGUGAAAUCCCAGGGCUCAACCCUGGAACUGCCUUUAAAGCUGUCAGUCUAGAGACCGGAAGAGGUUAGGGGAAUACCUAGUGUAGAGGUGAAAUUCGUAGAUAUUAGGUGGAACACCAGUGGCGAAGGCGCCUAACUGGUCCGGUACUGACGCUGAGGAACGAAAGCGUGGGGAGCAAACAGGAUUAGAUACCCCUGUAGUC
rnacentral:rRNA from 1 species